rnacentral:rRNA from 1 species
GGACGAACGCUGGCGGCGUGCUUAACACAUGCAAGUCGAACGAUGAAGCCCUUCGGGGUGGAUUAGUGGCGAACGGGUGAGUAACACGUGGGCAAUCUGCCCUUCACUCUGGGACAAGCCCUGGAAACGGGGUCUAAUACCGGAUACGACCUGCCGAGGCAUCUCGGCGGGUGGAAAGCUCCGGCGGUGAAGGAUGAGCCCGCGGCCUAUCAGCUUGUUGGUGAGGUAACGGCUCACCAAGGCGACGACGGGUAGCCGGCCUGAGAGGGCGACCGGCCACACUGGGACUGAGACACGGCCCGGACUCCUACGGGAGGCAGCAGUGGGGAAUAUUGCACAAUGGGCGAAAGCCUGAUGCAGCGACGCCGCGUGAGGGAUGACGGCCUUCGGGUUGUAAACCUCUUUCAGCAGGGAAGAAGCGAAAGUGACGGUACCUGCAGAAGAAGCGCCGGCUAACUACGUGCCAGCAGCCGCGGUAAUACGUAGGGCGCAAGCGUUGUCCGGAAUUAUUGGGCGUUAAGAGCUCGUAGGCGGCUUGUCACGUCGGGUGUUAAAGCCCGGGGCUUAACCCCGGG